GACGAACGCUGGCGGCGUGCUUAACACAUGCAAGUCGAACGGAAAGGCCCUGCUUGCAGGGUACUCGAGUGGCGAACGGGUGAGUAACACGUGGGUGAUCUGCCCUGCACUUCGGGAUAAGCCUGGGAAACUGGGUAUAAUACCGGAUAGGAGCCAUAUUUCGUGUGAUGGUGGGCACGUUUUUUCGGUGUAGGAUGAGCUUGCGGCCUUGCAGCUUGUGCGUGGGGGAAUGGUCUACCAAGGCGGCGACGGGUAACCGGACUGGGAGGGUGGACCUCCACAUUGGGACUGAGACUCGGACCAGGCUCCGACUGGAGGGAGCAGUGGGAAAUAGGGCUAUAGGGGCGUAAGCCUGAUGCAGCGACGCCGCGGGGGGGAUGAUGGCCUUGGCGUUGUAAUCGUCAUGCGCUUGUGACGAAGCUGUUUGUGACGGUACCGAGAUAAGAAGCACCGGCUAACUACGUG
rnacentral:rRNA from 1 species